rnacentral:tRNA from 1 species
GUCUUUGUGGUGUAAUGGUCAGCGCACUCGGCGCGUAUUCGAGAGGUCCGAGGUUCGAAUCUCGCCAAGGGCA